UACAGAGGGGGCGAGCGUUGUUCGGAAUUACUGGGCGUAAAGGGCGCGUAGGCGGCCUCUUAAGUCGAAACGUGAAAUCCCCGGGCUCAACCCGGGAACUGCGUCCGAUACUGGGAGCUUGAAUCCGGGAGAGGGAUGUGGAAUUCCAGGUGUAGCGGUGAAAUGCGUAGAUAUCUGGAGGAACACCGGUGGCGAAGGCGGCAUCCUGGGACCGG
rnacentral:rRNA from 1 species